rnacentral:rRNA from 1 species
CACGUAUUUAGCCGUCACUUCUUCUGUUGGUACCGUCAUUUUUCUUCCCAACUGAAAGCACUUUACAUUCCGAAAACUUCAUCGUGCACACAGAAUUGCUGGAUCAGACUCUUGGUCCAUUGUCCAAUAUUCCCCACUGCUGCCUCCCGUAGGAGUAAGGGCCGUGUCUCAGUCCCCUUGUGGCCGAUCACCCUCUCAGGCCGGCUACCCAUCAUCGCCUUGGUGAGCCGUUACCUCUCCAACUAGCUAAUGGGACGCAAAGCUCUCUCACAGCGUAUAUAGCUUUCAUAAUCCUAGGAUGCCCUAAAAUCAUAAUAUUAGGUAUUAGCAUUCGUUCCAAAUGUUGUCCCUAUCUGUGAGGCAAGUUCUUUACGCGUUACUCACCCGUCCGCCACCCAAACCGAAGUUCAAGUUGACUUGCAUGUGUUAAGCAUUCUGUCAGCGUUCAUCCUGAGCCAGGAUCAAACUCU